rnacentral:misc_RNA from 1 species
AACACUAAAGUUAAAAAAUGAUUUGAUUUAUACUACACUGAAACACAACAAAAACUUUUGGUCAAUUUGUCACAUGAUAGGUGCAGAAUUAGUUCGCGUAAAGUUACUUCCCUUAGAUUGAACUUUGCCAUUUGUAAGGGAAAAAAACGCGGAUCUUUCAACAGAUGAUGUUUAUCAAUUUUGUUCGGUACCAGUUUAACAGAACAGUGAACGGCCACUACGGUUAAAUGCUUGAUGACAAGUUAUUUUACCAUCCGACCAGUUCAAUGCAGAGGAUGAAAUUGUUGACGGUCUGGUACUACACCAGGAUUUGGAUCUACGGCAUUUGGACAGGCAACACAUACAGCUGGAGGAGGGUUAUUUGGGCAGGGUUUGAUGGGGACCGGCACAAGGACUUGUCUCUUUGGUGGAAGUGGAAGGUCAGCUUUUGGGACACAGUCAUCAGGAUUUAAUUUCGGUGCAACCCCUAGCAGUACAGGUGGACUGUUUGGACAGGGGACUACAGCCAACACUGGCCUGUUUGGCACACCAGCUGCAGCUAGCACCAGUAAUUUAUUUGGAUUCAGUAGUGCAGCAGGUGGAUUUAGAACUACAACAAUAAAAAGCAGCACUCAUUGGAGGUCUGUUUGGAACGACAAAUAGUGCAGACACCGGGCUCUUUGGGGCAAGUCCAGCAUUUUCUCAGCAGCCCCAGACUGGCACAGCUGUCAAAUUUAAUCCACACCAGGGUCAGGAUAUGAUGGUAAAGAAUGGUGUAACACAGAAUAUCAAUACAAAACAUCAGUGUAUCACUGCAAUGAAAGUACGAUGGGGAAAAGUCUGGAGAAACAAUAUAUUAUCGUGCAUGAACCACUAGUUGUCAUUAACAGCACGAGAGUCAUCUGGCAUGGGGGGUACCAGAUGGGUUUUGCCGGCAUGGGUAAAAUCACCGGAAACGCCAGUCCGAUGUGCAAGAAAGCCUUGUUGCUACCAGUUACUCAAAAUAUAGACGUCUUCUCCAGAAAAACUUCAGGGCUUGGAUUUGGAACCCCUGCGGCAUCAGCCACACAAACCAAUGGGCUUUACACAGGCCAAGUCAUCAGGGUUUAGAGCAUGAUUCUCUGUUUAGAGCCACAACAAUUGACAUAGCCAAGCCUGUUUGGAACAGGAGUAAACACAUUUGAGCAGACUGCUGCCAGCUCUGGUUUUGACGGUUUUGGAACAUCGCAAGGUGGUGGAUUGUUUGCAAGCAAACCUGUGUUUUGAGCCCAGACAACCUCAGCUGGUAAGUUUGGAGGAUUUGGUACCAACUCUUACACAGGGCCAACCUUUUUGCUACAUCUAUACAUAGAGCUCUGAAUUCAGCAUGUCAGUACAUGCGAUCAGCUGUUUAGACGGAAUAGAAGCUAUGACUACCUUUUUGCCAAACUAUUCUCUACACCCCAUACAGGUUUUUGAUUCAACACUGCAACCACUUCAUCUUGAUUUGGUGGAAAUUUUGGGUCAUUCAGUAGUGCAGCUAUCUGAUCUUGGCAGUACAGUUCCCAAACUAUUGGACGAUAAGUUCAUCUUUCGUAUUUCUACUUUUCAUAUAUUAAAUAUAUAUGACUGAAGGCUACUGACUUUUAACCACUUGCCCUUCACCAUCCUGGACUCGGAACCCCUCGAUGGAUUGUAGAAUUUUCCUGUUAGAAGUCUGGAUGGCUAACAGAAUAAUGAUGGUUCUGUCAAUAUACUAAACCAGGUGAUCACCAAGGACAGCAAAUCAAGCUGCAGUCAAUCAGACAGCUCAGCUACAGCAGACAGUGCUAGCACUUACACAUUCUCUUUACGGUGAUUAUCCACUUUUCUGGAACAUUAAAGAGAGUCCAAACGGUAAGAUGUUCUGAAACCCACAAACCUGGUGGCACAGAAAGCCAUUCUGACUAAUCAACAAAAUGAGUCCAAGACCUAUGGCAGAGGUAUAGCAUUAACUGCAGUCUCAGAUAUUUGAAGGCUUGGAAGAAGAUGAUUUCAGUUUUGGAAGCGACACAUUCCAGCCAAGGAAGAGUGUUAAGAAACUGACAAUUAAAAAGGUCCUCUCCUGUUGCAUACCAUGAACAGAAGACAGGAGGCUGAUGUUCCAGAAACUGAGAAUAUCAUCAGAAGUAAAGGCAUCUCUGAUCAGAUGGAUACACCAGAUAGAAGGUGAAGUAUUUCUUGAGGUAUGGUCUGGUUGAUGACUCGGAUGAGGAAGAUAUACCGGAACAGGACAAGAAAAGUUUAUUGGUACAUCUGGCACAACAGCAACAGGUAGCUGUACAGGUGAACAUUGUAACCAAG